rnacentral:rRNA from 1 species
UCUACGGGUGGCAGCAGUGAGGAAUAUUGGUCAAUGGUCGAGAGGCUGAACCAGCCAAGUCGCGUGAGGGAAGAAUGUCCUAUGGAUUGUAAACCUCUUUUGUCAGGGAGCAAAGUCACCCACGUGUGGGUGUUGGAGAGUACCUGAAGAAAAAGCAUCGGCUAACUCCGUGCCAGCAGCCGCGGUAAUACGGAGGAUGCGAGCGUUAUCCGGAUUUAUUGGGUGUAAAGGGUGCGUAGGCGGGUUAUCAAGUCAGCGGUAAAAUCGUGGAGCUAAACUUCAUCAAGCCGUUGAAACUGAAGAUCUGGAGUGGGCGAGAAGUAUGUGGAAUGCGUGGUGUCGCGGUGAAAUGCAUAGAUAUCACGCAGAACUCCGAUUGCGAAGGCAGCUCACUGGACUGCAACUGACACUGAUGCUCGAAAGUGUGGGUAUCAAACAGGAUUAGAUACCCCUGUAGUC